rnacentral:rRNA from 1 species
CCUACGGGUGGCAGCAGUGAGGAAUUUUGGACAAUGGGCGCAAGCCUGAUCCAGCUAUUCCGCGUGUGGGAUGAAGGCCCUCGGGUUGUAAACCACUUUUGUAGAGAACGAAAAGACACCUUCGAAUAAAGGGUGUUGCUGACGGUACUCUAAGAAUAAGCACCGGCUAACUACGUGCCAGCAGCCGCGGUAAUACGUAGGGUGCGAGCGUUAAUCGGAUUUAUUGGGUUUAAAGGGUGCGCGGGGGGUCGGUUAAGUCAGCGGUCAAAGACCGGGGCUCAACCCCGGCCCGCCGUUGAAACUGGCAGUCUCGAGUUGGAGAGAAGUAUGCGGAAUGCGCGGUGUAGCGGUGAAAUGCAUAGAUAUCGCGCAGAACUCCGAUUGCGAAGGCAGCAUGCCGGCUCCACACUGACGCUGAGGCACGAAAGCGUGGGUAUCGAACAGGAUUAGAUACCCCUGUAGUC